rnacentral:lncRNA from 1 species
CUCGGGGCUACAAGUGUGCAUGUCCAGAGGGCCUCUUCCUCCUGCCCUCAGGGAAGUGUGCAGAGCUGUCCAUCGUGUAUGCAUCAGGAAAGGCCAUCUCCCUGGUGCAUGUGGGCCCUGGAGCACACACCAAACAGGUGCAGGAGUGGCAAGAGCCCCUCCACUUGCAAGAUGUGGACUGGCAGAGGUCAGUGCUCUAUGGGACAGAUGACCGUGGGACUCUGCUGCGUGUUGUGGGCCACCCUGGCAGGAGAGAGGCCAUUGUGACUGGGCUGCCAGUCUGCUCUGCCCGUGUGGACAUCCGCUCCGGGGACCUGUACUGGCUCGCAUGUAACCGGAGGGACAUUGGCGUGAUCCGGACAUCUGACCAGUCCCCGCGCAUCCUGCACCGUGCUCGCAGCACCAUCCAGCACCUCUUCUUGGACUGGCAGCGUGGUGCUCUGUACUGGCUGGCCCGUGG